rnacentral:rRNA from 1 species
UACGUAGGGUGCAAGCGUUGUCCGGAAUUAUUGGGCGUAAAGAGCUCGUAGGCGGUCUGUCACGUCGGCUGUGAAAACCCGAGGCUCAACCUCGGGCCUGCAGUCGAUACGGGCAAACUAGAGUACUGCAGGGGAGACUGGAAUUCCUGGUGUAGCGGUGAAAUGCGCAGAUAUCAGGAAGAACACCCGUGGCUAAGGCGGCUCUCUAGUACGUGACUGACGCUGAGACGCGAAAGCCGUGGGGAGCGAACAGG